rnacentral:rRNA from 1 species
AAGGCGACGAUGCGUAGCCGACUUGAGAGGGUGAUCGGCCACACUGGGACUGAGACACGGCCCAGACUCCUACGGGAGGCAGCAGUAGGGAAUCUUCCGCAAUGGACGAAAGUCUGACGGAGCAACGCCGCGUGAGUGAUGAAGGUUUUCGGAUCGUAAAACUCUGUUGUUAGGGAAGAACAAGUAUCGUUCGAAUAGGGCGGUACCUUGACGGUACCUAACCAGAAAGCCACGGCUAACUACGUGCCAGCAGCCGCGGUAAUACGUAGGUGGCAAGCGUUGUCCGGAAUUAUUGGGCGUAAAGCGCGCGCAGGCGGUUUCUUAAGUCUGAUGUGAAAUCUUGCGGCUCAACCGCAAGCGGCCAUUGGAAACUGGGAGACUUGAGUGCAGAAGAGGAGAGUGGAAUUCCACGUGUAGCGGUGAAAUGCGUAGAGAUGUGGAGGAACACCAGUGGCGAAGGCGACUCUCUGGUCUGUAACUGACGCUGAGGCGCGAAAGCGUGGGGAGCGAACAGGAUUAGAUACCCUGGUAGUCCACGCCGUAAACGAUGAGUGCUAAGUGUUAGAGGGUUUCCGCCCUUUAGUGCUGCAGCUAACGCAUUAAGCACUCCGCCUGGGGAGUACGGCCGCAAGGCUGAAACUCAAAGGAAUUGACGGGGGCCCGCACAAGCGGUGGAGC